UUACGUCCAUACCACAUUGAAACACCAGUUUUCGUCCGGUGACCGAAGUUAAGCAACAUCGAACCUGGUCAGUACCUUGAUUGGUGACCGCUUGGGAAUACCAGAUUCUG